GAUGAACGCUGGCGGCGUGCCUAAUACAUGCAAGUCGAGCGAACAGACGAGGAGCUUGCUCCUCUGACGUUAGCGGCGGACGGGUGAGUAACACGUGGAUAACCUACCUAUAAGACUGGGAUAACUUCGGGAAACCGGAGCUAAUACCGGAUAAUAUAUUGAACCGCAUGGUUCAAUAGUGAAAGACGGUUUUGCUGUCACUUAUAGAUGGAUCCGCGCCGCAUUAGCUAGUUGGUAAGGUAACGGCUUACCAAGGCAACGAUGCGUAGCCGACCUGAGAGGGUGAUCGGCCACACUGGAACUGAGACACGGUCCAGACUCCUACGGGAGGCAGCAGUAGGGAAUCUUCCGCAAUGGGCGAAAGCCUGACGGAGCAGCGCCGCGUGAGUGAUGAAGGUCUUCGGAUCGUAAAACUCUGUUAUUAGGGAAGAACAAAUGUGUAAGUAACUAUGCACGUCUUGACGGUACCUAAUCAGAAAGCCACGGCUAACGACGUG
rnacentral:rRNA from 1 species